UGUUAUUGAAAUCGUUUUCAAGGAGAAUGGAAUUUCCAAUGGUGUUUAAGUUGUAUCGGUAACGCAUUUUGUAGAAAAUAAUAAUAAACUGUUGCAAAUUAUUCAAGCGAUUCAUAACGAGCCAAGCUAUUUUUGUCUUAUCGGUAUAAUUUAUUGCUUUUAAAGUAUCGCGAAUACGAAACACGAGGUGGUCGGCUCUCGCAUAAAAUUUCCAGUGAUUCAUCGCGAUUGUUGGAAAAUAGGCAAAGUUUCACUUAAGUCAGUGAGAUGUGGCUAAUCGAAAGUAGAAGUUCGUUGAGUUUUAGUUCUAGUUUCUCGCAUAAAAGAAAAGUAGUGGGUUUAAUAAUUGGAAUAGAAGUAUGUUGUACAUUGUGUGCGUUGUAAUUUUUUUAUUUUUUUGAAACUCUUUUACGCGAAUGGGAUAAUUUCUCUCUCAUAAUCUCUUCUCUUUUAUAAUCAAUAAAAUAUAUUUUUAAUAAGGCAAGAAGGGUAAAAGAAGGCAUUGCAUCCUCGAAGAAAGAAAAGAAAAAAUAAAAGAGAGUAAUAUUCUGAGUUUAAAACGCAAUUAUAUGUGCAUUCAUUAUUCAAAAAAGUGUUUUAUGACGACUACCAGAUUUGUUUAAGUUUUAAAGAAGCUUUUAUUUUAUUUCAUUAACUCGAAAUCUGUGAAUGUGAAUGUUGAGAAUGAUGUGUAGAUUAUACAAGAAAAUUUUCAAUUUAUACAUUUUUUUCAACGAGAUUUCUUCAAGAAGCUAUAAAGAAUAGGAUCGAGGUAAACAAAAUCGGCCAACGGGAAACGAGAUUGCAGGAUUUUGUGCUUGAAGAGAUUCAUUCAUGGCCGUCGUCUUGCGCGUUUCAAGGUCGAGGAUAACCGCAAAGAGGAAGAGGGAAAGUUCAGGAUCUCGGUGACAAUAAUUCACGAUGAUUGUAUCGAACGAAACACGUAGCCGAUUUGACUUGUUUUCUAGGGUACAGCGAAAUAGAACAGUCUUAUCUUUCGCAUAAAUUUCCUUUAUCAACUAGGUGCUCUUCUAAGCGUUAAAACCGGAACAUUCUCCCAGCAUGUUAAUUUAUGAGAAAUUACGAAUAUAGGUUAAAAAGGAAACGAAUAUCGACUCGAUUUUAAUUCUUGAGAACAAGCAGCUAAAACUAGUACAUAAACUAUCUAAUGGAAUCAAAAAUUUGAUUCAUCGCAUCGAUCAAUUUCAAUUCAAAAGGAAAACAAAUGAGAGCAAUGAGAUAUUAAAAGGAACGUUGUCGCGAUGAAUCCACCCGAGAGGGUUAAAAAUGAAAUUCGAACGACGGGUGGAAGCGUUAGAAGCAGAGGAACGGGCCAUAAAACGGCAUUAAUUAUUUCGUUCCUUCGAACAAGGGGCGGUAUCCAUGCGCGAAACGUGGUGUGGAGACACGGUGAAUGUUCGAAAUUUAAUUGGCCAUAAAGAAACAAUCAUUAUGCAACUCUCGGAUCUCGCUUAAGUGGCACGUUUCACGAAAGCUAGUUUCCUACUUAUCGCUUAAACGAACCGUGCAUCGAUAACCAUCGAUAAAUCUGAAGAUGCACUUUGUGUUCUCGCAACAGCAACAACACGAGCGUUCCUAUACGAAGCUAUAUCUAUUUUAUCUUCUCUUUUCUUCCCUUUCUUUUUUCUUAUGUGUUUAUACACACACGAAUAUUGGAAUGUCCACGUUAGGAUAAGAUUUGUCGAAUCGAAGUAAGACUAGUAUUUGAAAUGAUUAUUUGAAUAAAUAUAUUAUUAUAAGAA